AUUGAACGCUGGCGGCAGGCCUAACACAUGCAAGUCGAACGGUAACAGGAAGAAGCUUGCUUCUUUGCUGACGCGUGGCGGACGGGUGAGUAAUGUCUGGGAAACUGCCUGAUGGAGGGGGAUAACUACUGGAAACGGUAGCUAAUACCGCAUAACGUCGCAAGACCAAAGAGGGGGACCUUCGGGCCUCUUGCCAUAGGAUGUGCCCAGAUGGGAUUAGCUAGUAGGUGGGGUAACGGCUCACCUAGGCGACGAUCCCUAGCUGGUCUGAGAGGAUGACCAGCCACACUGGAACUGAGACACGGUCCAGACUCCUACGGGAGGCAGCAGUGGGGAAUAUUGCACAAUGGGCGCAAGCCUGAUGCAGCCAUGCCGCGUGUAUGAAGAAGGCCUUCGGGUUGUAAAGUACUUUCAGCGGGGAGGAAGGGAGUAAAGUUAAUACCUUUGCUCAUUGACGUUACCCGCAGAAGAAGCACCGGCUAACUCCGUG
rnacentral:rRNA from 1 species